rnacentral:rRNA from 1 species
GGGGGCCCGCACAAGCGGUGGAGCAUGUGGUUUAAUUCGAUGCAACGCGAAGAACCUUACCUGGUCUUGACAUCCACAGAACUUUCCAGAGAUGGAUUGGUGCCUUCGGGAACUGUGAGACAGGUGCUGCAUGGCUGUCGUCAGCUCGUGUUGUGAAAUGUUGGGUUAAGUCCCGCAACGAGCGCAACCCUUAUCCUUUGUUGCCAGCGGUCCGGCCGGGAACUCAAAGGAGACUGCCAGUGAUAAACUGGAGGAAGGUGGGGAUGACGUCAAGUCAUCAUGGCCCUUACGACCAGGGCUACACACGUGCUACAAUGGCGCAUACAAAGAGAAGCGACCUCGCGAGAGCAAGCGGACCUCAUAAAGUGCGUCGUAGUCCGGAUUGGAGUCUGCAACUCGACUCCAUGAAGUCGGAAUCGCUAGUAAUCGUGGAUCAGAAUGCCACGGUGAAUACGUUCCCGGGCCUUGUACACACCGCCCGUCACACCAUGGGAGUGGGUUGCAAAAGAAGUAGGUAGCUUAACCUUCGGGAGGGCGCUUACCACUUUGUGAUUCAUGACUGGGGUGAAGUCGUAACAAGGUAACCGUAGGGGAACCUGCGGUUGGAUCACCUCCUUA